CGCCACACUUCACCAAAAAAAAAAUGGAAAUAUGAUUUUGCUGGCUAAAUAUAUAUUUUUAUCUGUGAUGUUGAGCACUUUGUUCCCCUUCUCAAACGGAACCGAGUCUUGUUCAAGCAAAGGAGGAUCCUGUAACCCGAAACAAAAAUGUGCAGAUAUGGAAAAGUUUCCACAACUAACAUUUGAGUCGCCCAAUUGUUUAAACUACGAGCUGUGCUGUAUUUUUGUACAAUAAAUUCGACUAAAGUUAGCCCUCUAUUGUAUAAACUAGUUUUGGGCCAAAAAGUCGCAACCCUUA
rnacentral:sRNA from 1 species